UAUACCCUAGAAAUUCCCUAGUUCACAACCAAUUAGCACUCUGAACGAACUCCCAAGAUUGGGAUACCGGCUUAAGCUUGCCUAGCUCAUCAAAACAACCGCCUCGUUGUUGUCGGAUUGUUGACUUCAUAGGUUAACGGCAGAAAAAUAAUAAAAAUAAGCUUUUUGAGUGUCGAAACGCACACAGAGAUAAGGUUAUUAAUGAAGACAGCACAUCAGAGAUUAGUUAUGGUUGGCGAUCGCGACGGGCUGAAGGAAUUGCUGAGGCGCAGACUGGUCGAGUGCGGAUGGCGGGAUCAGGUGAAGCUGAUCGCGAAGGAGAUAAUAAAGGAGCACGGCCACGACAUCACCUAUGACAUGCUGCUGUCCGCAGUGACGAGCAGGGCUCGCACGCUUGUGCCGGACUCUGUGAAGAAGGAGCUGCUGCAGAAGAUAAAGAAUCAGCUGUUGGCCCAAGAGGAGAAGCUGAAGAUUGUGACGGACCGUUAGGAAUCUUAUUUGGAUUAGUAUUAAUUAUUGACAAUUUCCCCCCCCCCCCCAAUGACAACUAUGUUAAACACACUCGUAAGCGAGUCAUGACACUCAUGACAGGAAUUGUGCUCUUUGAACAAUUUAUUAUGUGACACGUGUUACAAUUAUUACUUUAAUAUAUAUAAACAAUUUUUUUAUUAAAAGGCAAACUGUUAUUUUACUUCAUUAGAAUGUACGUCUAAUAAUUAGAAUAGAAUGUAAUUAUUUAAUUUAAAGUGAGUUUAGGGAAAUGUACAUUUGCAAAAGAGUAUUUUUUACAUAAUCUCUUGUACUUAUAUUUUAAUCUGAAAUGUACAAGAUUGUACGAAUUAAAAAUAUUUAGUUUCUCAAGUGAAUUUAAUUUGAAUUAUUGCGGCGUCAGAGAUAAGUAAAACUACAUUGAUGUAUAUUCUAUUCGCGGUAAUUACGCUCGUCGCCGGCAGACGGCGACACCGGGCACGCCGCAAUUCCGCAUCGAGCUAGGUUAAGGUGAUUUCGUGCGGCAGAGUGACACUAUUUGGCGAUUUGUAGAUUUUUUGGUUCAACCGUCCAAUUUUUUCCUCCGACGUCGGCGAGUUUCGACCGGUGGCACUACAGCGUUAAUUAUUUAGCGUAACCGUUAAUAGUUGAAAGAUGUUGAUAAAAGUGAAGACUCUCACGGGGAAGGAGGCAAGUAUCCUGAAAACAAAGCGGUUUUACAAGACCGAGCGACGCACGUGAUGCUCGGGAUGCUAAA